rnacentral:rRNA from 1 species
UACGUAGGGUGCAAGCGUUGUCCGGAAUUAUUGGGCGUAAAGAGCUCGUAGGUGGCCUGUCGCGUCGGCUGUGAAAACUCGGGGCUCAACUCCGAGCUUGCAGUCGAUACGGGCAGGCUAGAGUUCGGCAGGGGAGACUGGAAUUCCUGGUGUAGCGGUGAAAUGCGCAGAUAUCAGGAAGAACACCCGUGGCGAAGGCGGCUCUCUGGGACGGUACUGACGCUGAGACGCGAAAGCGUGGGGAGCGAACAGG